GCCACGUGAUGAUCUCAUAGACAACAUGAGCGCUUUGUGCAGAGAUGACACAUUAUCUAUCACCCAUGACUGAUGGCU
ensembl:snoRNA SNORD83 Small nucleolar RNA SNORD83